CCUACGGGAGGCAGCAGUAGGGAAUCUUUCACAAUGGGCGAAAGCCUGAUGGAGCAACGCCGCGUGCAGGAUGAAGGCAUUCGGGUUGUAAACUGCUUUUAUAAGCGAGAAAUAUGAUGGUAACUUAUGAAUAAGGAUCGGCUAACUACGUGCAAGCAGCCGCGGUCAUACGUAGGAUCCGAGCAUUAACCGGAGUGACUGGGUGGACAGAGUUGGGGAGGUGGCAUAAUAAGUAGCGAGUGAAAUGCUGUGGCUCAACCAUUCAGACUAUUAGCUAAACUGUUAAGAUCGAGACCGUUAGGGGCAUCUGGAAUUUCUAGUGUAGGAGUGAAAUCCGUAGAUAUUAGAAGGAACACCAAUAGCGUAGGCAGGAUGCUGGGACGGUUCUGACACUAAGGCACGAAAGCGUAGGGAGCAAACGGGAUUAGAUACCCCAGUAGUC
rnacentral:rRNA from 1 species